UACGUAGGUGGCAAGCGUUUUCCGGAUUUACUGGGCGUAAAGAGCGCGCAGGCGGUCGUUCAAGUCGCGUGUGAAAGCCCCCCGGCUCAACUGGGGAGGGUCACGCGAUACUGAUCGACUCGAAGGCAGGAGAGGGAAGUGGAAUUCCCGGUGUAGUGGUGAAAUGCGUAGAUAUCGGGAGGAACACCAGUGGCGAAGGCGGCCAUCUGGACCAGCACUGACCGCUGAGGCACGAAAGCGUGGGGAGCAAACAGGA
rnacentral:rRNA from 1 species